GAAGCAGCCAGCCGGAGGAGGGUGGUUGCUACCGCUUCCCCGACGCCACGACGCGCGAGCCCCCGGGGCCUCCGGGCAACUGCACCAGCCCGGGAGGGCCCUCCCUGCCGGCCCCCUCCCCCGGGCGCCACUGCAGCUGCACCGGUCCCCGGAGCCGCGGCCGUCCCGGGCGCCACUGCAGCUGCGGCGGAUCCCAAGCCCCCUCCCCCAGCCCGCCGCCCUCCGCACCCGAGAGGCGCCACCGCAGCUGCACCGGCCGGGAGCCCGCCCCGCGCCGCAGCUGCACCGGCCAGGGCGCGGCGCGGAGCCGGGAGCCCGCACCCCGACCCGCAGCUGCAGCGGCCCGUCCCCGCGGCCGGGCCUCCCGCAGCUGCGCCGCCCCCGCCGCCCCAACAGCUCCAACCACACAAACUAACUCCACUCGCGGGGGCGCCCCCGGCCCGGCCCGCCCUCCGCCCGCGCCGCCCAGCCGGCCGGGGCCGCACAGCUGGCGCCCCCGCCCGCCGGGGUGCCGGGGCGCGGAGGGGCGCCGGGUCAGGGGCCAGGGGCCGGCGCCGGGACUCACACGGAGCGGCCCUAAGUCACCGCGUCCCCGCCGCCGCCGCGUCCUCCGCCUCCUCCUCCUCCUCCUCCCGGCCGCCGCCGCCGCCGCCGCCGCCGCCGGACUUGGUGGGCUUCCUCCGGCUCUUGCCCCCUCCCUCCCGGCCCCCCCGCCCCCCAAUCCCGGCUCCGUCGCCCGCUCCCCCCGCCCCUCCCUCCCGCCCACCCCGCUGGCAGCCGGAGGAGCGCGGCGGAGCGAAGAGGGCCCCACUCUCAACGGCUCCCCAUGGCAGCAGCCCAGCGGCGGCCGCAGCCUGCCAGACACAGCGAGGGAGCGAGCGAGGGAGCGAGCGCGGAGCCGCCGGGCAGGGUGGGGGGGCGGGGGCGGGGGCGGGCGCGGGGAGGGGAAGGGAGGGGCGGGAGGACGCACCACGCACGCACGCGGCGGCGCCGGCCAGAUGUUCCCCCACCCUCAGUCCGCCCCUCUCCUUCCCCUGCCUCCCUCCCUCCGGGCGUUGGGCUUCUGCGAUUGACCGAAAGCGGCUGGACCGGCGCUCCCCGCCCGCCCCCAGCCCUCAGACUCCUCCAAUGGGAGGGCGGCUCUUCGGGAAGGCGGAGGGGGUGGCGGGCAGUCGUCGGAUUGACAGGGGGGCCCAGCCAAUGGGGUGGCGAGCCGGAGCUGCCCUCCCGCGCGUGCCAAUCGCAGGCAGCAACUGUUGGGGUGGGCGGGGCUCGGGCGGGCGGGGGCCCGGAGCGAAGAGGCACGGGGCGGAGUCCUCGGGCGCAGCGGCGGUGGCAGCAGCGGCGCCCCUCUGGGUGACUUGGCCGUGA
rnacentral:lncRNA from 1 species